rnacentral:rRNA from 1 species
GCCUCUUGAUUUAACUAUAAGAGGUCCAGCCUGCCCAGUGACACUGUUCAACGGCCGCGGUAUCCUAACCGUGCGAAGGUAGCGUAAUCACUUGUCCUUUAAAUGAGGACUAGUAUGAAUGGCCCCACGAAAGCUAUACUGUCUCCUUUUUCCAAUCAGUUAAAUUAAUCUUCCCGUGAAGAAGCGGGAAUAAACAUAUAAGACGAGAAGACCCUAUGGAGCUUUAAACAAUUGAAACAAGUGCAUUUUUCAUUCCAUUCCAGAAACCAACAAUUAAUCCCUCACUCUGUUUCUAGUUUUAGGUUGGGGUGACCAAGGAGAAAAAACCAACCUCCACGUUGAAAGGGACUAACCCCUUAACAAAAAGCAACAUCUUUAUGUAUUAACACAUUAACCCAAAUUGACCCA